rnacentral:tRNA from 1 species
GCGCCCGUAGCUCAGUUGGAUAGAGUGUUGGUUUCCGAAGCCAAAGGCCGGAGGUUCGAAUCCUCUCGGGCGCG